AGGGAGUUAGUCCAAGUAAAGACCUCUGAUUUCGACUCAGAAAAUUGUGGUUAAAUUCCACAACCCCCUU
rnacentral:tRNA from 1 species